rnacentral:lncRNA from 1 species
CAGGGACAGAGAGAGACAGAGAGACAGAGAGAGAGAGAGUGAGAGAGAGAGGGAGAGAAGGAGAGCAUGCCGGGCGCCAGAAGCGGCAUCAACAAACAGGUAAUCUCCAGUGAGGAGAGACGAAGGGUGACUUAGGAGGAGGACACAAGGAGUGGAGAAGGGAUGGUGACAGAGGAUGGCAAAGGGCUGACAGGAAGGCAGGCAUACCAGACAGGUGGAGGCUCUGGUGGAGGAUGGACUCCCGGAAGGACUAACACGCCACUGUGGAGAUGAGGAAGAUAGGAGCCACUGAGGAGCCGCUGUGUCCAAGGGCCAAAGCGGAGUCAAGGACUCAGAGGCUGGAGGUGGAGACAAGGGAUCCUCCAGCCACGAUGCCGAUGGAGACUGGCAGACCCGCGGCGAUCCCACCGCACAGAUGGUGGGCUCAGGGUGAGCAGAGGGGCUGCCAGGAAACAGGCAAUGGCAAUGGGGCAAUGGUGAAGCAGGCUGAGGAGGUGAAGGGUGCCAAUCCAUGAUUCUGUGAGUGGAAAGAUGGGGCAGAAUGCGGAAUGGAGAGUAGACGAAUGAGGUACCACCGUUGAAAAGUCAUUUUCUUCCUUUCCAGUCCGUGAGCCUGUUGUUCAUGAUGCACAUGCAUUCCCACCUGACCUGAGGUGAAUCUAUCUCUCUUAACCUGCAGCAGUCGAGAUGGAUGGUCAGUGUGGUGACUCUUGUAUUUACCUCUGAAAGCCUGUCUACAGUAUGUGCGGCUGGACUCAAAUAUCACAUUAGGAAAUGUUAAACAGUUCAUCAGUGGCUUUGUCUCUCUCCUGUGCUUUGCUUUCCCCCACUGACUUAACAGUUAAAGCAGAAAAUCUGAAAUGUCUGACUCAGUUGGCACAGCAUCAGGGGGCAAUCAGUCACUUUGUGUUACAUCAUGGAUGGCAGGUCAAGUAGAACAGACCCAAUAGCUUUACUGACUGCUGGCCAAAGUAGAGUUUCAGCCAUCCUUCACCUUGCUAGGAAGUGCUAAAAUAAACAGUCAUUCGGUUAGUCUGAAUAAUCAGUUGAGGAUAUCAAAUAUGGUUUGUAGAGUUG